GUAUUGAUGAUUCAUUGGUAGAAUUUUCACCUUCUAUGUGGGAGACCCAGGUUCGAUUCCCAGCCAAAGCA
rnacentral:tRNA from 1 species